UACGAAGGGGGCUAGCGUUGCUCGGAAUCACUGGGCGUAAAGCGCACGUAGGCGGAUUCCUAAGUCGGGGGUGAAAUCCUGGAGCUCAACUCCAGAACUGCCUUCGAUACUGGGAAUCUUGAGUCCGGAAGAGGUGAGUGGAACUGCGAGUGUAGAGGUGAAAUUCGUAGAUAUUCGCAAGAACACCAGUGGCGAAGGCGGCUCACUGGCCCGAUACUGACGCUGAGGCACGAAAGCGUGGGGAGCAAACAGGG
rnacentral:rRNA from 1 species